ensembl:rRNA 5S_rRNA 5S ribosomal RNA
UUCUCUGGUCCUAUCACCUGGACCACACCCAAUCUUGGAAGCUAAGCAGGUCAGACCUGGUUGAUACUUGGAUGGAAGAUUAACUCUAGGAGCUUGCACAC